UACGUAGGGUGCGAGCGUUGCCCGGAUUUAUUGGGCGUAAAGGGCGCGUAGGCGGCCACGCACGUCCGUUGUGAAAUCGCCCGGCUCAACUGGGCGGGGUCAGCGGAUACGGCGCGGCUGGAGCAAGCUAGGGGGCAAUGGAAUUCCCGGUGUAGUGGUGGAAUGCGUAGAUAUCGGGAGGAACACCAGUGGCGAAGGCGGUUGCCUGGAGCUUUGCUGACGCUGAUGCGC
rnacentral:rRNA from 1 species